rnacentral:rRNA from 1 species
AGAGUUUGAUCCNGGCUCAGGAUGAACGCUAGCGGCAGGCUUAAUACAUGCAAGUCGAGGGGCAGUUCUAUCUUCGGAUAGAAGCGACCGGCGAACGGGUGAGUAACGCGUACGCAAUCUACCUCUGACUGGGGGAUAGCCCAGAGAAAUUUGGAUUAAUACCCCAUAACACCACAAGGAAUCAUUUCCAUGUGGUCAAAACUCCGGUGGUCAGAGAUGAGCGUGCGUCCCAUUAGCUUGUUGGUAAGGUAACGGCUUACCAAGGCAACGAUGGGUAGCGGGCGUGAGAGCGUGAUCCGCCACACUGGCACUGAGAUACGGGCCAGACUCCUACGGGAGGCAGCAGUAGGGAAUAUUGGUCAAUGGGGGCAACCCUGAACCAGCCAUGCCGCGUGAAGGAUGACAGCCCUCUGGGUUGUAAACUUCUUUUAUUAGGGAAGAAACCUUGGGAUUUAUCCCGAAUUGACGGUACCUAAAGAAUAAGCACCGGCUAACUACGUGCCAGCAGCCGCGGUAAUACGGAGGGUGCAAGCGUUAUCCGGAUUUACUGGGUUUAAAGGGUGCGUAGGCGGGACUAUAUGUCAGUGGUGAAAGCCUCCAGCUUAACUGGAGAAUUGCCAUUGAAACUGUAGUUCUUGAGUAUAGUUGAUGUGGGCGGAAUGUGGCAUGUAGCGGUGAAAUGCAUAGAUAUGCCACAGAACACCGAUUGCGAAGGCAACUCACAAAACUAUUACUGACGCUGAGGCACGAAAGCGUGGGUAGCGAACAGGAUUAGAUAC